rnacentral:sRNA from 1 species
UGUUUGCACUUAGCGGGAAGGGCAAGAACCUUCGACUACGGUUCGUCUCGAGCGCCAGCGAGAGAACGUUGCCACAGGCAACGGCCCGAAGGGCGAGGAGAGAUAGCGACGAGUUAUCCUUCCCCCACCACCA